rnacentral:rRNA from 1 species
GACGAACGCUGGCGGCGUGCUUAACACAUGCAAGUCGAACGAUGAAGCGGGUGCUUGCACUCGUGGAUUAGUGGCGAACGGGCGAGUAACACGUGAGUAACCUGUCCUUUUCUUUGGGAUAACGGCUGGAAACGGCUGCUAAUACUGGAUAUUCAGGCUGCAUCGCAUGGUGUGGUUUGGAAAGGUUUUUUCUGGGAUUGGGUGGGCUCGCGGCCUAUCAGCUUGUUGGUGGGGUGAUGGCUUACCAAGGCUUUGACGGGUAGCCGGCCUGAGAGGGUGGUCGGUCGCACUGGGACUGAGAUACGGCCCAGACUCCUACGGGAGGCAGCAGUGGGGAAUAUUGCACAAUGGACGAAAGUUUGAUGCAGCGACGCCGCGUGGAGGGUGGAGGCCUUCGGGUUGUGAACUCCUUUGUCUCGCGAAAAAGGCACAGUUUUGGCUGUGUUGAUGGUAGUGGGGGAAGAAGCGCCGGCUAACUACGUG